rnacentral:rRNA from 1 species
GCAAGAUUAAAACUCAAAGGAAUAGACGGGGACCCGCACAAGCGGUGGAGCAUGUGGUUUAUUUCGACGAUACGCGAAGAACCUUACCUGGCCUUGACAUAGAAAGAACUUUCCAGAGACGGAUUGGUGCUAGUUUACUAGAGCUUUCAUACAGGUGCUGCACGGCUGUCGUCAGCUCGUGUCGUGAGAUGUUGGGUUAAGUCCCGCAACGAGCGCAACCCUCGUGUUUAGUUACUAACAGUUCGGCUGAGGACUCUAAACAGACUGCCUGGGUAACCAGGAGGAAGGUGAGGACGACGUCAAGUCAUCAUGGCCCUUACGGCCAGGGCUACACACGUGCUACAAUGGGGUAUACAAAGAGCUGCAAUACGGUGACGUGGAGCAAAUCUCAUAAAAUAUCUCCCAGUUCGGAUUGAAGUCUGCAACUCGACUUCAUGAAGUUGGAAUCGCUAGUAAUCGUAGAUCAGCAAUGCUACGGUGAAUACGUUCCCGGGUCUUGUACUCACCGCCCGUCACACCAUGGGAAUUGAAUUCAUUCGAAGCGGGGAUGCUAAAAUAGCUACCUUCCACAGUGGAUUUAGUAACUAGGGUGAAGUCGUAACAAGGUA